rnacentral:rRNA from 1 species
AUUGAACGCUGGCGGCAUGCCUUACACAUGCAAGUCGAACGGCAGCACGGGAGCAAUCCUGGUGGCGAGUGGCGAACGGGUGAGUAAUAUAUCGGAACGUGCCCAGUCGUGGGGAUAACGUAGCGAAAGCUACGCUAAUACCGCAUACGAUCUAUGGAUGAAAGCGGGGGAUCGCAAGACCUCGCGCGAUUGGAGCGGCCGAUAUCAGAUUAGGUAGUUGGUGAGGUAAAGGCUCACCAAGCCGACGAUCUGUAGCUGGUCUGAGAGGACGACCAGCCACACUGGGACUGAGACACGGCCCAGACUCCUACGGGAGGCAGCAGUGGGGAAUUUUUGGGACAAUGGGCGCAAGCCUGAUCCAGCAAUGCCGCGUGCAGGAUGAAGGCCUCGGUUGUAACUAG